GACGAACGCUGGCGGCGUGCCUAAUACAUGCAAGUUGAGCGCUGAAGGUUGGUACUUGUACCGACUGGAUGAGCAGCGAACGGGUGAGUAACGCGUGGGGAAUCUGCCUUUGAGCGGGGGACAACAUUUGGAAACGAAUGCUAAUACCGCAUAAAAACUUUAAACACAAGUUUUAAGUUUGAAAGAUGCAAUUGCAUCACUCAAGGAUGAUCCCGCGUUGUAUUAGCUAGUUGGUGAGGUAAAGGCUCACCAAGGCGAUGAUACAUAGCCGACCUGAGAGGGUGAUCGGCCACAUUGGGACUGAGACACGGCCCAAACUCCUACGGGAGGCAGCAGUAGGGAAUCUUCGGCAAUGGACGAAAGUCUGACCGAGCAACGCCGCGUGAGUGAAGAAGGUUUUCGGAUCGUAAAACUCUGUUGGUAGAGAAGAACGUUGGUGAGAGUGGAAAGCUCAUCAAGUGACGGUAACUACCCAGAAAGGGACGGCUAACUACGUGCCAGCAGCCGCGGUAAUACGUAGGUCCCGAGCGUUGUCCGGAUUUAUUGGGCGUAAAGCGAGCGCAGGUGGUUUAUUAAGUCUGGUGUAAAAGGCAGUGGCUCAACCAUUGUAUGCAUUGGAAACUGGUAGACUUGAGUGCAGGAGAGGAGAGUGCAAUUC
rnacentral:rRNA from 1 species